CUUUCCCUUUCCUCUUGUUUUCUAGGGCUUGCUACGUAGGCCAGAACUACACCAACACGCUUUGAUGCUGAAGCAGAAUUUGGUACAAGGUGGCUGUAAGUCAGAUCUCCUGCUAAUUGUGUGAAACUGUUUAUGUUGAUUCAUCUAAGCAGCUGGUCUUUUGAGAGAGAUGCAACAGACCAAAGAACAAAGACAGAAGCUUGAGAAGCCAUGUUAGGACUUGUUGCACAGCAUGGUGACUGCUAUGGAACAUUGGUAUGGAGUUUCAGGAGAAAUAAGGGUGAUAGGAUCCAGCUCCCCCCAGCAGAGUUCUUGGAUGUCAAGUCCUGAUAAAUCCCCGCCGCCUCCUGGGUCCAAGCUCGGGUACCACUAACUUGUCCCAAGAGAGUGGGGAGUGAGACCUGUAAGUCAACUAAUAUAAGGAGAGGAAACUGGGGGCUGAAGAAGUUAUCUCCCACCACCACCAACAACAAAAACCAGAACAAAUAGAAUUUGGACUAAGAUGCAAGUCUCCUGACUUUCAGGUCGAAUCUUUCUAUUGUGCUCUUCUACUUAAGAACAUCACUCUCAGCCCUCCAUUUCCACUGUGUAAAUGUAGGCUGUAUUAAGAGACCUUGAAUCUGUAAAAAAUGGUGCCACUUUGAUUUUAUUGUAACUGCCUUGGAAAUAGUCACACAUGUGUCCUAAAGGGGCUUUGUCUCUGUGUUCAGAGGACUCUGGGGUUUUCCUGAGUGCCAGCUGGUGAAAAUGCUUAUUUAGUCUACUCUUUGGGAGCAACGAACAAGGUGCAAAGGCUCCCAGUUUCUGUAGGAAAAUCGCUGGUGAAACAGACUUUCUUCCAGUCUCCUGUCUCUAAGUUGCCAAGGUUCACCUUCAAAGGGUGGCGUGUCAAGUUUUGUGAACUAAUUGCUUUAGCUUUGAGGUGCUGAGGCUUGUUAAAAAUUCUUACUCCUUAUUGAUUCCCUGUGGCUUUUCAAAAAGAAAGGACACUUUUCAUCCAGCAUGUGAAGAACCUGUGAUACAAUAUCAUCAGGAGUUGAAGGCAAUCAAAGUACAGAUUUCAAAACCCAUUGCUGCAAAAUGUUUACUUGUCAGAUCUCAUUUGUUGACAGUGUUGAAACGUGUGUAACUUCUUGCUAGGCAGACUUUUAAAAUGUGAGGACAUGGCAGUAAUGAAGAAAAUUUGUACGGUGGGUGAACUGUGAGCUGGAGUGUUUGAGUUUGACCUGGUAAAGUCAACACAAUGCCGGCAUUAGUAUUCAGAUGAAAUCUCAGCUCCUGUGAACAAGCUGCCAUGCGGUCAAUUUGUCAAGAUAAAACUUCAGAGCCUUGUUCUGUGUCUCUUCUCUUUAAUAACCAGAACUUCCAAGACAACGUAAGAGGCAAUUUCAAGGAUAUUGACGACAAUCUUCUUUCUGAAAGGGUUGCACUGAAUAUACUGGCAAAGUGCUUAGUCAAGCACUUUAUAAUUUACAAAGUGUCCUCUCCGAAUUUUGCUGUUUGGUCUGCACAAUCAUUUCUUGGAGUUGAGAACAUUUUUCAACAAUGUUGGAUACUAAUUAUUCUACUGAUUAUUAAGUACUUCAUGCAUGGAAAGCACACAGAAAAACUUUUGAUUGUUUGAUUGGCUAAAAACAAGGCAACCUAAGCUUUGGUAAAGUCUGGUUGUCCUUCAUUCUGUGAACUUACUCGUUGAUCAUUUAGUUAAAUUACCAUCUGAUCCCCAUGUUCUCAGCUACAUUUGUAAAGAGUAAAUGCUGGGCCAGGCGUGGUGGCACACCUGUAAUCCCAGCACUGCAGGAGGCCGAGGUGGGAGGAUCACUUGAGGUCGGGAGUUUGAGACCAGCCUGGCCAACAUUGUGAAACCUCGUCUCUACGAAAAUUACAAAAAUUAGCCAGGUGUAGUGGCGCACACCUGUAAUCCCAGCUACUUGGGAGGCUGAGACAGGAGAAUCGCUUGAACCCAGGAGGCAGAGGUUGCAGUGAGCUGAGAUCGCAUCACUGCACUCCAGCCUAGGCGACAGAGCCAGACUCCAUCUCAAAAAAAAGGAGUAAAUGCCUAUUGCACUAGAGCUGGCUUUAGAGAGGUAAGGUGUUGACCCUAAGUAGUGGUUAAGGGGCACGAUCAACUCAAGAUAACCCUUCAUGGGUGACAAUAAAAUCAUUAUACCUUUGUCUUUCUGUAAAUUCACAUUUUUAUCUCAGUCUUCAUUACCCUAGCAGAGAAUUUGUCAAAGUGUAUUCCAAAGAGCUUUAUGGAUGUCAAUGGGUAUGACUUGUUUUUUAAAAUAAAAUUAAGAUAUCAAUAAGUAUGAUUUGCUUUUUAAAAUAAAAUAAGGUU
rnacentral:lncRNA from 1 species